AUGGUAACGAUGACAUAAGUAAUUCACUAUUUAAUGUUUAAGUGCAUUUGUGUUUUACUGACUUGAUCCUUUCUGGGAUCGGAUCACAUCUGUGAGAAAUGAACCACAGCAAACCGCUAACUAUUAUGCAUCACCUCUGCGUCUGUUUCCCAUUCACACAUGUUUGUUUUUUUCUCCACAAUAUAAGCGUAAACCAUAUUAGUAAAGGUAUAUAUGGUGAUAAAGGGAGAACCACAUAUAUGAUUAAAACCUGAACCUGAGACGACCCGAUUGGAUACGGAGCUCCUCAGUACAUGUGAGCGUGGUGGACUGACUCAUAGCGCACAGGGAUGUGGGAAUCUGCAGAUCGGAGCCUCCUAAUGUGGUGCACGUGAAUUCUGGUUGUAUCCAGGAGAUGGAGAUGAAUAUGAUGACUCACCUGUCCAGAAGGAUACAAAGCACUGUAAGAUAGUUAUUGUUCAUGGCAAAGUACAAAGGCUUGUGAUUAUGAAAACAUAUUCUAUUAGAAUCCAUCUUUCUCAGCCAGAUGUUAUCUUUCUCAGAACAUCACACACUCUAAGUACUUCUUUUCAUCUCUCACUGUGUUUAAUACAUCAGUCGGAACUACGUUCUUAGAUAACUAUGAUUUAAUGGUAUUUAAACAAUGGCGCGAGGCAUUUGGAAAUUGGUACAGUGAGGGGGGCCGUGGUUACCGGUAAGGGUCCGGGCGCCUCUGCCGGAACACGUUGGAGAACCACUUUCUGAAAGCACUUCAACAGAUUUCUCUGUUCAUUCUUGAACAGCUUCCACCUUUACACCAGUUUAUACCUCUUACGUGAUCUAUUCUUAUUGGUACUUCUCUCUUUGUGCUGCUGAGGAUCAGUUAAGAUCUUCUUACCAUCCAAUCGAUGGGUGUCUUAGCGUAAUUGAGAAACUUUUAAAAAGCAUAAAAACCUUAAACAAUGAAUCCUGCCACGAGUCCAAAAUAUAUCCCCAUUUCCUACGAUUAAAUAUUAAUGUCUUCGUCAGUUCAAAUAAAUUGGUAAAACAAUUUAACACAAUUAAGAGUUUAAGAACUUGAGGAAAUGGGUUUCCGUUUCUUUCUUCAGACAGAGCCAGGACGGCUGUUUCCCCUCGUUUCUGUGACGCUAACAAGCUGCAGACACCCGUUUCAUAUUUGACAACACACCUAGCAGAGACUGGUAUCAAUCUGCUCAGAUAACUUUUGGCAAGAAAGUGUUUGGCCAAAAGUACUGUGGGUUCGAAUGAAGUAUCUUUAUUGAAUCCAAAUUGUUUUCAGCUCACAGCUAUUGAUACAAAUUGAUUACAUUUGCAGUCCAUGCACAUUAUAUGACCCUUACAGUAUGAAGGUGUUUUAUUUCACGUAGCGUAUGCAGGUUUUUCAUUGGGGAUUCUGAAAAAAGGAAAUUAUGUUUGUAUGAACACAUGACUGGGACACAUCAGAGUCACGGUCAGAAUACUGGUGCAUGGUUGGUUCAAUGUCCAUGAUAUCCUCAAUCGCUUUCUUUUUUACUUUUAUAUUGAAAUUAAAUAUAGUUCAUAUUAUUAUAUUAUAUUGAACAGGAGGUGGGAUGGUCGUUAAAUCAAACGCAUGUAUGUGCUUCAUAAUCACAACCUCAAGACCUGAUUUUCUUACACAUGAUUAUUUUGAAAGCAUGGAUCCGUCCGAGUUUUUUGGACGAUAGAUUGAAAGUGAUUGAUUAAACCGGUCUUCUCGUCCUCCCUGCAGCUGCACAGAGGAAAUGAGGCAUCUCCCUCUAAGUUACAAAGUCCUAAAACCCAUCGAAAUAAUGGACUAUGAUUCAUGCAUUUUAGAUAGGACCACCAAAUUGGCAUAAGUGACAAUGAAGACACUGUCCCCUGAGUGUACACGUUGUCCAGACAGACCAAUGUGUGAGAAUUGACAUUAAUAAGCUUAGUUCAUUCAACAGAUCCUUUAUCCGUGGCUCAAUUUUCGUCCUUCCUGCUAUUAUUCCCCUUAAGACGGGGACUGCAUAUGAAGUUGACAGCCUUUGCUUUUCCUUACUGUGUACUGUCUACUUUUCUUCCUUACUAAAUACUGUGCAGUUUAUGACAUCUGGAUACAUUUUAUGUGUUUAUGUGAGUGCGUUUGCACGUGUCCACCUACGGAUAUAUGAUAUUAUGUUGGGAGACUAACACACUUGUCAGGAUUUCAUUGGAAAUAACACUUGUUAAACCAUGCAGUCUUACUCUAUGAACUUCAAUAUCUAAGGUUUGUCAAGUUAAAUUCCUGAGAUCUCCAAUGUCUUUAUCAAAACAGAAGUAUGGAUGGGCUGUAUUUCGACAUUUCACUCCGCUGAGAACUCUAUCUAAUUCUUUCCAGUUCUUUGUGCCAUUUAAUGUCCUUCACCUCAACACUUGCAGCUCUUUCCCUCCUUAGACAUCUUUUUAGGGGCCUGUUUUUUUGGCGAGGAGCGGUUAGAGUUUGGUGUUCUGGGACAUUAGACUUUGUCGUCCAGAUAAACCAUCGGCAACAUCUGUUAAAGAUAGACAACUCUGUUGGACGAUUUUGGUGUGGACAGGGAAUAAAUUGGCGGGGUCAUAACCAGGGAGGAUAAGUACAAAAUGUUAAUUUAGGUUGUUAGAUGUGCCAACAUUUACACAAAACAAUGUGUGCAGUAACAUAUGAACCAAUAAUAGGAAGAAAUAGCAACAACGGUGAAUAGAUAUUGCUCCAAUUUAUCGUAAGUAACACUUACAUGUACUUUUCAGUCAAAACACAUCUGGAAUGAAACAAACUCUUCUAAAUUCUGCUCAUCUUCUCAUCUGGCUCUGUUACUGCUGGAUAAUAAUGGCUGUAGGCAAACAGUAUAAUGAGAUUGCUCACUAUGAUCUCAUUGUUACUGUGUGUAGUCACACAAAGGUCCCUGAAUUAAGGAGACACUGUCUGUCUGUGAUGUAAGCAAUUUCCAAGGACCACAGUGGAAGACUUGGCAUGAUCUGCAGCCUUUUAGGAUGAAUGGACGGGAUUUCUGUAACAGAACGGAACUAGUCGCUGUGAAAAUGGCAGCAUGCAUAAACAGGGAGUGAUGAGAAUGUUAUGGAGUACCCUGAGGAGUAUGAUGUUGGUUUUUAUCUUGCCUACAUAAACAAAAAGGGAACUAGUUUAUGAUAGAUUUGUGAUUGGGGUGUGCUUCCCAAAUCUAAUGGGUUCCUUCUUGGCCCGGGCUACGCCCCUCCACCUGGAUGCACAGAACACCGUGCCAGUAGUUUUCUUGGCGGAGUAAUACUUCCUAGAAUCUGUUGCGCUCUUUAGCCUAAACACCUACAUUUCUGGCUACACCCUUUGAGUAACCCACCUUUUUUUUCCAUUUGAAAUCAAAUCUGUUUCUUUGGGAACAUUUUGUGACCCUAAUGUUUAAAACAAACAACUCAGUAGCUAUUUUCAAUUUAAUUUGGCUUACCACUGUCCAUUUUUAUUGCAAAUGGAUGUGUUUUGACGUGCUAAAGAUCAGAAUCAUGGGUUUAUGGCCAAGUACUUGAAGAAAUAUUCCUUUGUGAUAGAAAUAGAAAUACGGGCAAUUACUACAAGAGUCAAGAAAAUAAAUAUAGAAUUUUUAUAAUCUGUUUAUAAUCAAACAAUAAAAUAGAUCUUUUUUAAGAGGAAAAACAGCUAAGAUGUUUUAAUUGGAAUGAUAAAGUUAACUGAUGCGCAGUAGCUACUCUGAAAGCAAACUAUGACGAAAGAAUGUGGUCAUCAUCCAUCUGAGUGUGUACUGUAGUAAUUGAUACAGGGUGAUCGAUAACUCUCUGAGAGUGAGUCACGGAGUUUCAGCUUUUUGUGGCCUAUAGUCUGUACCCUGGAAACAUAUUGUAUUCGAUCAAAUACAUUGAUAACGGUUAAGUGAAUACGAGGAUAUAUGUUGUAUGAAUUUAAAAUAUAUGAAAGUACAUUGUUUUAUUUUAAUCCUUAUCAGACACUAGGCUUUUUAUUUCACCAGCAUGUAUAAUAUUUCGGAUAAAAUAUAUCCAUAUAAUCAUAUGUAUCACACAGAUAUAUUCAUAAGCACACACUGAGUGACUCACUUAUCCCUCAGCAUCCGUUAUUCCAGUUUUUCCCUUCACUCUCCCUCUCUUUUCUCUUAUAUUGUAUUACAGAGCAUGCCUGGUCAGUGUGACUCACCCUGCAGAGAUAUGCUGCUACAGGACUCCUCCACCAGGUCAAAGCACGCAGCCUUUAAUCCCUUGAUAGUGUUAUAAUUAAACCUCCUACCACCGACCAUUUAUGUGUAUUAUAACACAUACUAACUGCUAAUAACACUCUUUAAUCUAGCUGUAAGCCAGUAAAACAAUUACGGUGCUUAUUAAUGUGCGGGAAAUCAAUAUAAGGAUUCAUUAACUGGUGUUUUUGUUGUCAGCAUUACGAAUUCUUCGAAUGGGGGGAUGUAUUGUUAUUAUUCGUCGAAAGGCCUCCUCCUAGUGCUCCUCUUUUCUCCAGCCUUCUCCAGCAUUCACCUUUCCUGCCUGCCUUUUAAGUUUUAAUGACAAACGUGUCAGCAAAACGCUCAUUUAGCCAUUACAAAUCAACCAAGGCAUUCCUUUGGAGACAAGUUUGCGGUCAUCAGAUUAAUCUAAGUUACUCUCUUUCAGAACACAGUCUUUGUUCUCUUCCAACUCCUGAGGAAAAUCUCUGGUUCGUGAGUUACUAACCGCAAUCACACCGGACCCGUUUGUUCACAACUACCCACCUGGGGUGAAAUGAAGUCCAGCCACUCACCGCUGCAGCUGCGUUUCCCCCCCAAGGACUGCAGCUGACUGGGUGUUGUGCAACGUACCGUUUUACAUGUCAAAGCAGAGGAAAGCAGCCAUAUCUGAGAUAAAUCAACUAUUAGUUUUGGCUUUAACUUUUGUCAGAGUGUAGCAGAGCACAUCUUUUGUUUCACAGAGAAACUUCUGAACUUUUCUGUGACCGUUUAUACUUUUAAGUGUCAAGAAAAAAGUUGAGCUGGUUGCAUCUGAGAUCUACCUAAUGCAGUGGUAACAUGAAGCAGGCAUCUUCAAGGCGAUGCCUGUGUGUCCAACAAAAGAGAUGGAGCCGUGACAAAUGGCAACACACAGACACACUACCUGCACCAUUACAACUCACUCAUUUCUCUCCCUCCCUGUCAUCUAAUAGCUUACCAUGAUGACAAGUUUACAAUGAAUGGGUCCCGACAGAUGAAUGCAUAGAACACCCACACACCAUACAUCAAAUGCAUUCAAAGACAGUGCGAGUUGAAGAAAAGAACACAUCGAUGGCCACUAGGACCUGUGUGAUGUCAUCUAGUUUAUACUGCUCUCUAGUGGCGUAGCAACAUCCUCAGGUCAUAACCGAAACCAUAGGGAGGUUAAAGCUUUGACCGUAACACACUGCUGCAGUGUUCAGACAUAAACAGACCCCUUUCUUCAUGUGGAUGAUUAAACUUGACUUGACAUGCUGCAUAGCAGUUGUGGUGUAUGUACCUUAAGUUAUAUUAGUAUAUUUCAAACUGUUUUGAAAAACUUUUCUCAAAAUAAAAUUUCUAUGAAAGCUG